rnacentral:rRNA from 1 species
CAAUAGCGUAUAUUAAAGUUGUUGCAGUUAAAAAGCUCGUAGUUGGAUUUCUGCUGAGGACGAUCGGUCCGCCCACUGGGUGAGUAUCUGGCUCGGCCUUGGCAUCUUCUUGGAGAACGUUGCUACACUUGACUGUGUGGCGCGGUAUCCAGGACUUUUACUUUGAGGAAAUUAGAGUGUUUCAAGCAGGCGCACGCCUUGAAUACAUUAGCAUGGAAUAAUGAGAUAGGACCUUGGUUCUAUUUUGUUGGUUUCUAGAGCUGAGGUAAUGAUUAAUAGGGAUAGUUGGGGGCAUUCGUACUUAACUGUCAGAGGUGAAAUUCUUGGAUUUGUUAAAGAUGGACUACUGCGAAAGCAUUUGCCAAGGAUGUUUUCAUUGA